UACGAAGGGGGCUAGCGUUGUUCGGAAUUACUGGGCGUAAAGCGCGCGCAGGCGGCCUUUCAAGUCAGUGGUGAAAGCCCGGAGCUCAACUCCGGAACUGCCAUUGAAACUGUUUAGCUUGAGGAUGAGAGAGGUGAGUGGAAUUCCCAGUGUAGAGGUGAAAUUCGUAGAUAUUGGGAAGAACACCGGUGGCGAAGGCGGCUCACUGGCUCAUUACUGACGCUCAGGCGCGAUAGCGUGGGGAUCAAACAGG
rnacentral:rRNA from 1 species